GACGAACGCUGGCGGCGUGCUUAACACAUGCAAGUCGAGCGGAAAGGCCCUUCGAGGUACUCGAGCGGCGAACGGGUGAGUAACACGUGAGUAAUCUGCCCUUCACUCUGGGAUAGCCACCGGAAACGGUGAUUAAUACCGGAUACGACCAAUCCCUGCAUGGGGUGUUGGGGGAAACUUUUUUGGGUGGGGGAUGUGCUCGCGGCCUAUCAGCUUGUUGGUGGGGUAAUGGCCUACCAAGGCUUCGACGGGUAGCCGGCCUGAGAGGGUGACCGGCCACACUGGGACGGAGACACGGCCCAGACUCCUACGGGAGGCAGCAGUGGGGAAUAUUGGACAAUGGGCGGAAGCCUGAUCCAGCAACGCCGCGUGAGGGAUGACGGCCUUCGGGUUGUAAACCUCUUUCAGCACCGACGAAGCGCAAGUGACGGUAGGUGCAGAAGAAGGACCGGCCAACUACGUGCCAGCCGCCGCAGUAACAC
rnacentral:rRNA from 1 species